UAACACAUGCAAGUCGAGCGGCAGCACGUCCUUCGGGAUGCUGGCGAGCGGCGGACGGGUGAGUAACACGUGGGAAUCUGCCCAUCGGUGGGGGAUAGCCCGAGGAAACUCGGAUUAAUACCGCAUACGCCCUACGGGGCAAAGUAGACCUCUGAUUUAAGUUUACGCCGAUGGAUGAGCCCGCGGCCGACUUAGCUACUCUGUGGGGUAAAGGCCUACCAACGCAACGAUCGGUAGCUGGUCUGAUAGGACGAUCAGUCACACCGCGAACUGAGACACGGUCCGGACUCCUACGGGAGGCAGCAUUGGGGAAUAUUGGACAAUGGGCGAAAGCCUGAUCCAAGCAAUGCCGCGUGGGUGAACGAAGGCUUGAGGGUUGUAAAGCCCUUUCAGCAGGGAGGAAAAGCGUACGGUUAAUAUCCGUGCGUCUUGACGUUACCUGCAGAAUAAGCACCGGCUAACUCCGUGCCAUCAACCGCGGUAACACGGAGGGUGCAACCGUUAAUCCGGAUUACUGGGCGUAAAGCGCGCCUAAGUGGUCUGAUAAGUCCAGUGUGAAAAGCCCGGGCUCAACCUGGGAAUUGCAUUCGAUACUGUCCGACUAAGAGUCCGGUA
rnacentral:rRNA from 1 species